rnacentral:lncRNA from 1 species
AUGAUUAAAUCACAAAAAAACUUCUCUUCUUUCUUAUUAGAGAAAAACUGCCAUAAAUAUUUCCAUGGUACUAAAUGUAGAGUGAACAGUUUAAACAAAAAAAAACGAAAAAAAAAAUUAUACGUUCAUAAAUGUUUACAUAUAAAAGAAUAUAUAAAAUAUGAAGAGUUUAAAACAGAAAAAUUUUAUAAAUACAUAAAUUUACAAAAAUUAAUUAUAAAUAAAUAUUAUAAAAAUAGAUGUAAAAAUAAUGGUACCAAAACAGGUCGUGUUAAACAUAAUAGUAAUGACCAUACACCGUCUUUUCCAAAUUUAAAAAACAAUAAUAAAAAAAAAUGUAAAUCAAAAAUUGGUUAUACCCGUUCUUCCAAUGGAACCAAUCACUCAUACAAUGGAGCCAGCAACUCAUAUAACGGAACUGGAAAUACUUGCAACAUUUCGAACCAUUUAUUUAACAGUUGCUUCAUUUCAAGUCUCUGCAUUUUUGAAAACCUUUUUUUUAUUGCUUGUUCAGGUGGGGUUCUUAGCAUAUUUGACAAUCAAUUUAAUCACAUUUUAAGCAGGAAAGUUACUAAUUGUGAAAUUAAAAAUAUAUCCAUGAACAAAAAAAAAAACAUCAUAGUAUUCAUUAACAGUAUGGAUAAUAUGUAUGUUAUUUAUUUAAAUAUGACACAUAUUUUAAAAAAAAAAUAUUUAAACGGGUUGUUUUGUAAGAGUAUCAGUAACAAUAAAAAUAAUAAUAAUAAUAAUAAUAACAAUAAUAAUAAUAAUAAUAAUAAUAAUAGUUGUAGCACAUAUAAUGACAGCUAUGGUUGUUGUGAAGGCAACUGUGGUUCUAUUUACAAUUCCGAAUGCAGCAAACACCAUGAUUGCGAUAACUACUACUAUACUGACAAUAGUUACAGCAGCUACAGUCAUGACCAUCAUGUUCAUAACCAAAACAUGACAUUCAUAAAUAAACAAAUAUAUAUGACAAAAUUAAACAAAAAAGAGCAAAGUUUUACUUAUCAAAUUGGCUACAAUCAUAUUAUUAAAUAUAAAAUAAAAAAUAUAAACAAUUCUAUUAUUAAUCCUUAUUUUGAUUUAUAUAGUAGAUCAAAUAAAAGUAAUAAUAAUAAUAAUAUAUGUGUAUUAUCACGUAACAAUACGGUGUCUCUUUUAUAUAUUUUUGAGUUUCAUAUAAAUAAUACAUUAUUAUUUAGAAACCCUAAUAUUCAAAAAGUGUAUUGGUUUAAUGCAUAUAUUUUUAUAUGUACAUAUCAUUCUGUUUAUAUAAUUAAUUUUUUUAAUAAAAUUAAAAUUGCUAAUAUCGUUU